GAUGAACGCUGGCGGCGUGCCUAACACAUGCAAGUCGAGCGGCAGCGCACCCUUCGGGGUGGCGGCGAGCGGCGGACGGCUGAGUAACACGUAGGAAUGUACCCCAAAGUGAAGAAUAACUGCCCGAAAGGGUAGCUAAUGCCGCAUAUGCUCUUAGGAGUAAAGGCUUCGGCCGCUUUGGGAACAGCCUGCGUACGAUUAGAUAGUUGGUGAGGUAACGGCUCACCAAGCGACGAUCGUUAGCUGGUCUGAGAGGAUGACCAGCCAGACUGGAACUGAGAUACGGUCCAGACUCCUACGGGAGGCAGCAGUGAGGAAUCUUCCACAAUGGGCGAAAGCCUGAUGGAGCAACGCCGCGUGCAGGAUGAAGGCCUUC
rnacentral:rRNA from 1 species